rnacentral:ncRNA from 1 species
CUUGUGGACGGUUAUAUCACAUGGGAGUAGAUUUUAUAUUGGAAGAUAUGAAACCAAACCAGACAGGAAGAAGCAAGAA